rnacentral:rRNA from 1 species
AAUGAACGCUGGCGGCAUGCCUAACACAUGCAAGUCGAACGAGCCCUUCGGGUCUUUUCUCGCACGGGUUUGUAACGGGUCGGAACCUGCCCUUAUGUUUGGAAUAACUCCCCGACUGGGGUGCCAAUACCGGACAAUGUCUUCGGACCAAAGAUUUAUCGCGUCUGGUUGUUCCCUCGUUGGAUAAGCUAGUUGGUAGGGUAAUAGCCUAUCACGGCGACGAUGCAUAACUGGUCUGAGAGGAUGGUUAGCCACACUGGGACUGAGACACGGCCCAGACUCCUACGGGAGGCAGCAGUGGCGAAUGUUGCACCAUGGGCGAAAGCCUGAUGCAGCAAUGCCGCGAGAGUGAUGAAAGCCUUAGAGUUGUAAAGCUCUUUUACCCGGGCUGAUAAUGACGGUACCGGGAGAAUAAGCCCCGGCUAACUCCGUG